GAUGAACGCUGGCGGCGUGCCUAAUACAUGCAAGUCGAGCGAACUUUUGGGAGCUUGCUCCCAACAGUUAGCGUCGGACGGGUGAGUAACACGUGGGUAACCUGCCUGUAAGACUGGGAUAACUUCUGGAAACCGGAGCUAAUACCGGAUAACAUUGAAGACCACAUGGCCUCCAAUUAAAAGGUGGCUUUUAGCUACCACUUACAGAUGGACCCGCGGCGCAUUAGCUAGUUGGUGAGGUAACGGCUCACCAAGGCGACGAUGCGUAGCCGACCUGAGAGGGUGAGCGGCCACACUGGGACUGAGACACGGCCCAGACUCCUACGGGAGGCAGCAGUAGGGAAUCUUCCGCAAUGGACGAAAGUCUGACGGAGCAACGCCGCGUGAGCGAAGAAGGCCUUCGGGUCGUAAAGCUCUGUUGUUAGGGAAGAACAAGUAUCGUUCGAAUAGGGCGGUACCUUGACGGUACCUAACCAGAAAGCCACGGCUAACUACGUG
rnacentral:rRNA from 1 species